UAGGCAGAAGCCUGUUGGAUGGGGCACUUAGCUGUUAACUAAGGGGUUGUGGGAUCAAAGCCCACCUGUCUAG
rnacentral:tRNA from 2 species